CAUGGAGGGUGAGAAUCCCGUCCGGUUGAUCAUUGCGUUUUACGAUACGCUUUCUAAGAGUCAAGUUGUUUGGGAUUGCAGCUUAAAAUGGGAGGUAAAUUUCUCCUAAGGCUAAAUAACGGCGAGAGACCGAUAGCGAACAAGUACCGUGAGGGAAAGAUGAAAAGAACUUUGAAAAGAGAGUUAAACAGUACGUGAAAUUGUUGAAAGGGAAACGAUUGAAGCCAGUCGUACCUUCGGGUAAUCAGCCUUUCGGGUGCGAUUCUGUGGAGUGUGAGGAGCUUAAACACCUUCAUGUUUUGCAUAUUCGUACUCUUGGGUGUACUUGCCCGUGUGGUUGGUUAACAUCAAUUUUGGUGGUCAUAAAAUGACUGGAGGAAUGUAGCUUCGAUCUUGUAUUGAAGUGUUAUAGCCUUCGGUAGAUGUGAUGAUCGAGAUUGAGGAUUGCAACGGAUACCCUUCGGGGCUACCUGUCUGGUCUCUGAUCGUUGCUCUGGUGCCGAAAGCUUGCUUACGGUUAUCAAAGUCGAUGGUCAAUAGGUUAGAACGGGUUAAAUUCGUUAAGGAUGUUGACGUAAUGG
rnacentral:rRNA from 1 species